GAUCAUGGCUCAGGACGAACGCUGGCGGCGUGCCUAAUACAUGCAAGUCGAACGAACUCUGGUAUUGAUUGGUGCUUGCAUCAUGAUUUACAUUUKAGUGAGUGGCGAACUGGUGAGUAACACGUGGGAAACCUGCCCAGAAGCGGGGGAUAACACCUGGAAACAGAUGCUAAUACCGCAUAACAACUUGGACCGCAUGGUCCGAGUUUGAAAGAUGGCUUCGGCUAUCACUUUUGGAUGGUCCCGCGGCGUAUUAGCUAGAUGGUGAGGUAACGGCUCACCAUGGCAAUGAUACGUAGCCGACCUGAGAGGGUAAUCGGCCACAUUGGGACUGAGACACGGCCCAAACUCCUACGGGAGGCAGCAGUAGGGAAUCUUCCACAAUGGACGAAAGUCUGAUGGAGCAACGCCGCGUGAGUGAAGAAGGGUUUCGGCUCGUAAAACUCUGUUGUUAAAGAAGAACAUAUCUGAGAGUAACUGUUCAGGUAUUGACGGUAUUUAACCAGAAAGCCACGGCUAACUACGUGCCAGCAGCCGCGGUAAUACGUAGGUGGCAAGCGUUGUCCGGAUUUAUUGGGCGUAAAGCGAGCGCAGGCGGUUUUUUAAGUCUGAUGUGAAAGCCUUCGGCUCAACCGAAGAAGUGCAUCGGAAACUGGGAAACUUGAGUGCAGAAGAGGACAGUGGAACUCCAUGUGUAGCGGUGAAAUGMRUAGAUAUAUGGAAGAACACCAGUGGCGWAGGCGGCUGUCUGGUCUGUAACUGACGCUGAGGCUCGAAAGUAUGGGUAGCAAACAGGAUUAGAUACCCUGGUAGUCCAUACCGUAAACGAUGAAUGCUAAGUGUUGGAGGGUUUCCGCCCUUCAGUGCUGCAGCUAACGCAUUAAGCAUUCCGCCUGGGGAGUACGGCCGCAAGGCUGAAACUCAAAGGAAUUGACGGGGGCCCGCACAAGCGGUGGAGCAUGUGGUUUAAUUCGAAGCUACGCGAAGAACCUUACCAGGUCUUGACAUUCUUUGCAAAUCUAAGAGAUUAGACGUUCCCUUCGGUGGACAUGGAUACAGGUGGUGCAUGGGUG
rnacentral:rRNA from 1 species